rnacentral:lncRNA from 1 species
UGUCAAUAUUAUUGCAUGAAUUAUCAUCUGAAUGAACAUCAAUAUCUAAAUCAACAACCGUGCCCUUUCCGUUUUCAUUCAAAAAACUGGAUUUGUGAAAUAUUCUCAACUUAUUUUGGAUUUAAUUAAUUCUUCAUGAUAAACCAGAGCAUCUUGGUACCACCGCUUCAUUUCUGUUAAAGGCUUGUGGACAAAAAGAAUGUUGGUUUACUUGGAAUUGAGGGUUAAAAUAUUCUAAAGUUUGCCUUACAGUCUAAAACAACUGGAAAUGAAAUAACUUUACUUACUCAUUAAGCUUAAAUAAAGGCCUCUUGUGGUAGACUCCAUCAUAUUGAACCAAUAAGUAACUGUUAGGAUGUGUGAAAUGUCAACAUGAUACCAGACACGCAGAUAUUUGAUGCAGAGAACUUUCUAGGCCAAGGCAACAACAGAAGGCAUUCUAGAAUGGCUGGAGGGAAACAGCGAGAUGUCCGUGCUGAUGGAUGCAAUCCA